rnacentral:rRNA from 1 species
AUGAAUUUUAUAGUUUUGCUCAGGACGAACGCUGGCGGCGUGCUUAAUACAUGCAAGUCGAGCGAACAGAAAGGGAGCUUGCUCCUGACGUAGCGGCCGACGGGUGAGUAACACGUGGGCAACUGCUCUAUAGACUGGGAUAACUCCGGGAAACCGGAGCUAAUACCGGAUAAUGCCUUUCUCCACCUGGAGAGAGGGUGAAAGAUGGCUUCGGCUAUCACUAGGGGAUGGACCCGCGGCGCAUUAGCUAGUUGGUAAGGUAACGGCUCACCAAGGCAACGAUGCGUAGCCGACCUGAGAGGGUGAUCGGCCACACUGGGACUGAGACACGGCCCAGACUCCUACGGGAGGCAGCAGUAGGGAAUCUUCCGCAAUGGACGAAAGUCUGACGGAGCAACGCCGCGUGAGUGAGGAAGGCCUUCGGGUCGUAAAGCUCUGUUGUUAGGGAAGAACAGGUACCGUUCGAAUAGGGCGGUACCUUGACGGUACCUCACCAGAAAGCCACGGCUAACUACGUGCCAGCAGCCGCGGUAAUACGUAGGUGGCAAGCGUUGUCCGGAAUUAUUGGGCGUAAAGCGCGCGCAGGCGGUUUCUUAAGUCUGAUGUGAAAUCUCGGGGCUCAACCCCGGGCGGCCAUUGGAAACUGGGGAGCUUGAGUGCAGAAGAGGAGAGUGGAAUUCCACGUGUAGCGGUGAAAUGCGUAGAGAUGUGGAGGAACACCAGUGGCGAAGGCGACUCUCUGGUCUGUAACUGACGCUGAGGCGCAAAAGGUUUACGU